CCAACGGCCCUCUUUAGGGCCACAAAUCUAUGAAUUGUGCUUGGAC
rfam:Loa loa cont3.8238, whole genome shotgun sequence.